UAACGAAUCUUCCGCAAUGCACGAAAGUGUGACGGAGCGACGCCGCGUGUAGGACGAAGCCCUUCGGGGUGUAAACUACUGUCAGGGGUUACCAAGUUCUGAGGAGCCCCAGAGGAAGGCAUGGCUAACUCUGUGCCAGCAGCCGCGGUAAGACAGAGGUGCCGAGCGUUAGGCGGAAUCACUGGGCUUAAAGCGUGUGUAGGCGGAGUGCUAAGUACCUUGUGAAAUCCCACAGCUCAACUGUGGAACUGCUUGGUAUACUGGUUCUCUUGAGCCACUUAGGGGGCAAUCGGAACAAACGGUGGAGCGGUGAAAUGCGUAGAUAUCGUUUGGAACGCCAAUGGUGAAAACAGAUUGCUGGGAGUGUGCUGACGCUGAGACACGAAAGCCAGGGGAGCGAACGGGAUUAGAUACCCCGGUAGUCCUGGCCGUAAACGAUGUCGACUAGAUCGUGGCAGCUCUGACGUUGUCACGGUCGAAGCAAAAGUG
rnacentral:rRNA from 1 species